GAGCAGGAGAUGGAAAUUGAAGCUCUGGAAUCAAUACUUAUGGAUGAAUUCAAAGAAAUUCACUCCGCGGAGAGUGGACUAAGCACUUCAAAUAGAUGCUUCCAAAUAACAAUAUCUCCUCAGUAUGAUGACACAGAUCAAUCAACACCAG